AUCACCCAUUUUGGGCUGCUCACCCCAUCCCCAUGGUCUUGGGGUGCUCACAUCACCCUCAUGUCCCCAUUGUCACCCAUUUUGGGCUGCUCACCCCAUCCCCAUGGUCUUGGGCUGCUCACAUCACCCCCACAUCCCCAUCAUCACCCAUUUUGGGGUGUUCACCCCAUCCCCAUGGUCUUGGGGUGCUCACAUCACCCUCAUGUCCCCAUCAUCACCCAUUUUGGGGUGCUCACAUCACCCCCACAUCCCCAUCAUCACCCAUUUUGGGCUGCUCACCCCAUCCCCAUGGUCUUGGGGUGCUCACAUCACCCCCACAUCCCCAUCAUCACCCAUUUUGGGCUGCUCACCCCAUCCCCAUGGUCUUGGGGUGCUCACAUCACCCCCACGUCCCCAUCAUCACCCAUUUUGGGGUGCUCACAUCACCCCCAGGUCCCCAUCAUCACCCAUUUUGGGGUGCUCACCCCAUCCCAUGGUCUUGGGGUGCUCACAUCACCCUCAUGUCCCCAUUGUCACCCAUUUUGGGGUGCUCUCAUCACCCCCAUGUCCCCAUCAUCACCCAUUUUGGGGUGCUCUCAUCACCCCCAUGUCCCCAUCAUCACCCAUUUUGGGGUGCUCUCAUCACCCCCAUGUCCCCAUCAUCACCCAUUUUGGGGUGCUCUCAUCACCCCCAUAUUCUUGGGGUGCCCACAUCACACCCAUGUCUUCAUCAUCACCCAUUUUGGGCUGCUCACCCCAUCCCUUUGCCUUCAUUGCUCCACUCCUGAGAAUCCAAUGAUGCGUCGUCGUGUGCUGGAAUAGAGCAGUGUUUCAUAGGAAAUAUUUCAUUGCUAUUCAAUUUGUAAUUUAAAUUAAAAAACAAAACAAA